UUCAUCUGGAAACCAAGGUCAUGGGUUCAAGUGCCACUUUCACCCUUGUUAGCUUAUGAUUUUAAACAAAUUAUUUCCCUUCUCUGAAUUUCAGGAUGUUCCUCAGUGGUGAAACUACAUAAAGAGCGAUAAGAGUUUUCUGAUCUUAAAUUAGGACACUGAUAAAUUCUGGUAUAUUUGUGGAGUCCACAGGACAGCGGUUUUGAAAUCAGCAUCAAACUAGGAGACUAAAUAGGACUGAGUAGGACUAAACUAGUUUCCUGUUGCUGCUGUAACAAAAUGCCAUUACUUUGGUGGUUUAAAACAACACACAUGCAUUCUCUUGCAGUUCAGGAGGUCAGAACUCCAAAAGGAGUCUCGGGAAGCUAAAAUAAAAAUGUCAGCCUGUCCAGUUCCUUCUAAGGCUCCCUUGCCUCUUCCAGCAUCUAAGGCUGCCACAUUCCUUGGCUCACCUCUUCUCCAUUCUGCUUGCAUUUAAUUCCACUUGACACCAUUUAAUACUGGCUCUGUGACCUGGGAAAGCUGCUGAGCUUCUCUGUGCCUCACUUUCCCCACCUGUGAAUUGGAGAUAAUACUGGCAGCCACCUAAGGGGGUGCUGUGAGGACUCAGUGAGUUGACACUGUCAAUAGAAAGGACAUUUCAGGGCCCUGAGCUUCCCCAGACCACUGGCUCCGUGCACCCUGUUAUCCCCCUACCCAUGCCAACCUCAGUGGAGACAAUCAAGUCCGAUGUGAGCCACCGCCUCAAUGAACCAACUUCCAGAUCAGUUUAUUAUCAAAACACAGUAUAAAUGUUGUUUUUAUGCUCAAUAAACAGUUCCUCAGCUCUGCAAAAUGAAAUAUUCCUUUCAUUAUGAAACUGAGAAGCCAUUUAUCCUGUGUCUUAAGUGGUAUAAAUAGACUGUGUGGCAGUCAGCGGAGGGAUAAUGACACUGUUUAUUUUCACUAGCUCGGGAUGGGCUGACACAGCGUGUACCGGGGGAGUGAGCGCGGCUCCUGGAAGGGGACCCACAAAUCUGUCAUUCUCGCCAAGAACAAGGUGCCGGGCAUCUGUUCCUGGGCUCCACUUGCCAGGCCCAGGCAGGCAGGGGAAAUGUUGGGAUUCCACCUGGCACCUUGAGGAGCCAGCUUGGAGCUUCAGCUGAAGGGUCCCCCCAGGUGGAGGGAGCCGAUAGCCCCAGGAGGCCCUAUGAUACUGCUGUGCGAUCGAAUGAGACAGCACAUGUGUAGGUGUUUGGCUUUGUACAAACAUAUGCCCUGAUUUUUCUGGAGAGGAAGAAGAAUUCUGUAGAGAGUGGGUCAGAGGCUUGUGGGCGAUUCUGGCUCAGAUCCAGGUCUCCUGACUCUUGGUCUUUCUACCAGUGUGUUCCUUGGAUUAAACACUGUCUCUGCAAAGGCACAACCAUUGUCUACAUGUGCACCCCACAACUCCAGGUGGAGGCAGCUGUUCACACGGAUGCCACCUGCUAGGGUGCUGAGCACACACCUACCACAGUUGGAGGUGGUCGUCUCUACGGUCUGAAGGCUUCAGAUUAGAACAAACGUGUUUCUAAGGUAUGGAGGACACCUCAGCCCACUGACCCUUUUUUAAUUCUCUUCCUGGAAGAAAAGAGCAGUCAACAGAGAGAGCGAGCCCAAGGCAUUGUAUUGGAGGUCACAGGAUUGGAAAGUCCAGGACUUGGGACUCAGCCUGAGUUGAAGGCUCUGUGUAAUAGGGGUGGAGGUAGGGUGUUGACCCCAUGAGCACCUAAGAUGAGGAAGGGGAGAUGGAAUCUAUAGAAAGGUUUGACUGUGGAUGUCAGACAGGGGCUUUUCCCAGAAAACUAUGAGUCACUGCAUCUCUUUGAGACACAUUGUUUUCAUCUGUACAAUGGGCAUAACAAUAUCUUGCUAUUCAGAAGAGCAGAGGCUAGACUGGAAGAAGCUGACAGGGCUGCUCCAGGCUCAGGGUCAUCUCUGAGCUGUGCUGGCAGCAGAAACCAUCCCCUUCUCUGCUUCGUCCAAGGGCCGGGAGGGAAGCUGUAUGCAUUUUAGGAUUCUAUCCUACUGGGGUGGCUGGGAACCUCUGGCAGGGGUGGGGAGUGAGUGAGCUGAGGACUGCUGGGGCCAAGGAAGGACCUAGGGGAAGUAAAUAGAAAAGAGGGACUGGGUCCCUCCACAGAGUGAAGAACCAAGGUUUCAAGUCUGGGUCUGAUCUGAGGCUCAGGCUGUGUGUGUGUGUGUGUGUGUGUGAGAGAGAGAGAGUGUGUGUGUGUGUUGAGAGGAGUGCCUAGGUGGUCUUAGCAGCCCAAAGGGCCUGGGCUAGGGUCCAGUGAAAGAUGUGCAGAGUAAGUCAGAAGCGCUCCAGAUGGGUGCUACCUGCCGUCCACAGCAUCCUUCAGUACCCAGGCAAGAGCCUGGAGAUGCUGUAAAUAUUUUAAGUAGAUAUAAUGCAAGGAAUUGGUUACAAGGGGGCUAAAAAGUCAGAAGGCAAAAGGAAAUGAAGCUUCUUACACUUACCCCAGGGAGCUGGUUCUCUCCUGGGACCUGUGGUCCACAGCCCUCGUGCAGCCCAGCUGCCAUGUUUGGGUGCUGCCAUCCAACAGCAACCUGGGGGUCUGCUCUUUUGCAGAUGCUGCUAGAACCACCUGUGACGCUGCCUUAGACCCCAGGGCCACAGCUGCCCUCAGGAUAUAGAUUCUGCCUCUGCUGGAGGCACUGCCAGGAGCAGACAAAUGCUGUGUCCCUCUUUCUAGCCUUCCAUUCUCCCACUGGCGUUUCUAUUUGGAUGAACCUCAUGGGAAGCCAACAGGCAAGAGAGCCUAGGAAAUGCAGUUUGCAGGGAUGGGGCUGGGAGCCAACAUGUGGUACUGGGCACAUGAACCCCCUAUGUUCUGGAACAACUGGAGAUGAUCAGGUACAUUAUCUAAUUUAAAAGUUUACUCUGGGAGUUCCUGUUGUGGUGUAGCAUAAACGAAUCCGACUAGGAUCCACAAGGAUGCAGAUUUGAUCCCUGGCCUUGUUCAGUGGGUUAAGGAUCUGGUGUUGCCGUGAGCUGUGCAGGUGCAGAUCGCAGCUGCAGCUCAGAUCCUGUGUUGCUGUGACUGUGGUGUAGGCCAGCAGCUGUAGCUCUGAUUCAACCCCUAGCCUGGGAACUUCCAUGUGCUGUGGGU
rnacentral:lncRNA from 1 species